rnacentral:rRNA from 1 species
GCGACUAACCGCGAAAGUCUUCGGGGAGCCGUAAGUAGGCUUUGAUCCGGAGGUCUCCGAAUGGGGGAACCCAGCAUGUGCAGACAUGCUAUCCUUAAGUGAAUACAUAGCUUAAGGAGGGAACACGCAGUGAACUGAAACAUCUAAGUAGCUGCAGGAAGAGAAAGAAAUAUCGAUUUCCCAAGUAGCGGCGAGCGAACAGGAAAGAGCCCAAACCGGCAGAUUUAUCUGCCGGGGUUGUAGGACUGAGACAUGGCACUUCAGAGGAUAGCAGAAGCGUUUGGGAAAGCGCGCCAGAGAGGGUGAGAGCCCCGUAAGCGAAAUCCAAAG